CUGCACGAGGCCCCCUGUGGCCAGGCUGCCCUUCAGGAAGGUUUUACCGAUUCCCACGUGCUUCCCGCAACGAGGGGCAGUCACCUGCCCAGAGCAUCACCCAGGGAUGUAUCGGGAUCGUUCUGCUGGCCAGCGUGAGAGUAAACACAACACCCUGCCAUCCCUGGCUCCCCAGCUGCGCUGAGCGGCUCUCGGUGCCGUCUGUACCACGUCCCUCUGGGACAGCUCAUGAGCACGAGGCUGUUUGGCCUUGGCCAAGUCCCCUGACCCUGCCUCCCUCUCCUCUCCUGCACAGCAGAGCUUCCGUCUCAUCAUGCGCUCUCCUGCACGCACACACCUGCCGUGACGCCAUCCGCCACAAUGAGCUGCAGCCAGGGGGUCCCUGGCUGAGCCAGCACCAGGCUCUCCGGGUUUUCAGCCUCCAGAACUCCAUGAACUUGAGCGUGACUGAGGAGCCCUGACUACUAACCCAGAGAGAGCACAGCGGACAGAUGACCACGGCAGACACCCCGGCACCACUACAGGACGAGUGACCCCUUUCUUAAACAGUGAACCACAAGGAAGGAGAAAAAAAGGCAACGUGGGAAACCGAGACGCAUCAGCCGUGGCGCACGCCGUGGGGAAGAGUGGAUCCUGAAUGGAUCCUGGUAGCUUCAGAGAUCUCACUUUUCUUUCCUGAGGUACGAUGGUGCUACUGUGACAAUUUUUAUAAAAGGAUUUUCUUCCUUUUGGAAAUACACUCGGUUACACAUGAAAUGGUAUGGGGUCAGCAACUUGCUCCAAAUAAUCACGGUGGGGCGAGAGCAUGGGGCUGGUCACGAGGACUGGUCUCGAGGGGAUAAA